UACGAAGGGGGCUAGCGUUGUUCGGAAUUACUGGGCGUAAAGCGCGCGCAGGCGGUCUUCCGAGUCAGUGGUGAAAGCCCGGAGCUCAACUCCGGAACUGCCAUUGAAACUGUAAGACUUGAGGACGAGAGAGGUGAGUGGAAUUCCCAGUGUAGAGGUGAAAUUCGUAGAUAUUGGGAAGAACACCAGUGGCGAAGGCGGCUCACUGGCUCGUAUCUGACGCUCAGGCGCGACAGCGUGGGGAUCAAACAGG
rnacentral:rRNA from 1 species